UAUAUAAUUUAAUUAAAAUAUAUAUGAAUUUUGAAGAAUAAAGAUUAAAAAAGGUAUUUAGAGAUGUCGAAAUGGGUAAACCAAAUCAAACCAUAUCCAAAUGUUUUAAACUUAUAUGGUUAUGAAUUACCAACCCAUUUGACAAAUAGAAUGGGUCAAUCCGUGACUCCUUUAAGUUAAUGAGUUAAAGUUUUAAUGGUUACUCCAUGAAUAAUAAUCUUAUAGUUUAAGAUGUUAUUAAGUAGCAAAUAUUUUUGGUGGCUGGAAAUAAAAAUAUUGUUUAGAUUUUGGAAAACCACGGUUUGUAGUAAAUAAAAUUUGACGUUUCGCGGAUUUUUUUUUGUGAGUUUAAGGAGAAAACUAUAUUUAACAGUUUGACGGGAAACACAUAAUUUAAGGUUUUGGCACGAGAAAAUGAUUUUGCGGUUUUGGCAAGAAAACUCAAUUUUACAUUUUGGCGAAAAAAUGAUAUUUUUCGGUUUUGUUGCGAAAACACGAUUUCACGGUUUUGAUUCGAAACACAAAAUUUUAUAGUUUUGGCGAGAAAAUAAGAUUUUAUUGUUUUGGCAGGAAAACACCAUUUUACAGUUUUGGCGGAAAACAUAAUUUUGCGGUUUUAACGAAAAAAAUUAGAUUUUAUAGUUUUGGCGAAAAACGAGAUUUUUAAACUUUUGGUGAAAAAACAAAAUUUUACGGUUCUGGAGGGAAAACACAGUUUUACGCUUUUGGCGGAAAAACAAAAUUUUGCGGUUUUGAUGAGAAACGAGAUUUUACAGUUUUGACGAAAAAUGAUAUUUUGCUGUUUUGACAUGAAAACACUUUUUUCGGUUUUGGUAGGAAACAUGAUUUUGGGUUUAGGUAGAAUAACAUGAUUUUUGGUUUUGGCGGAAAAUCACAUGUUUUUGGUUUUGGGGAAAAUACGAUUUUGUGCUUUUGACGUAAAUUACGAUCUUGCGGUUUUUUGCGGAAAAAAUCGAUUCUACAGUUUAGAUGAGAAAACACAAUUUUACGAUUUUGACGGGAAAACACGAUUUCAGUUUUAGUGGAAAAUAUGAUUUUGCGUUUUAUGGGAAAAACCUUAAUUUUAUGGUUUUUGCAAAAAAAUAUGAUUAAAUUUGGUUUAUUGAAAAAGAUAGUAGAUAUUGGAUGUUGAAAAAAAAUAUAUGAGAAAUUGGGUAGCUUUAGUUAGUUAAAAUUAAUUUAUAUAUGAAAAAAAUAAAAUAAAAUUUUGGUUUAAGUAAAAUUGAUUUAAAAUUUUGGUUUGGUAUUUUGGUUAUAAAUGUUUAUUGGUUCAGUUAUGGAUAAUUGAUGAUCCAUUCCAAAUUCCAAUCCAAACCAUUUUAACUCAAUUCAAUAAGUCCAUUUUAUCCAUUAGUUCAUUUGUGCCAAAAAAAAAAAUUCAUUAUGAUUCAUGGUUUGGAUUGGGUUGGAUCAUAUAUAAAUGAGAUCAAAGAUAGUGCUUAAUCGACUUUUAUAGCCGGAACUACAACAUUUGGUGUAUGAAACCUAGUUCUAGCCGCUUAGGUUUAAUAUUGUAUAUUGAAUAGUCUAUCUCUUGUUCUAGAGUUAGAUCCCUUUUAUAUAGGUUGUUCGUAAUCGAAAACCAUGUGAAAGACUUCCAUAUUCAGAAAUGUAGAAUAAUCUCCAUUUAGUAGAAGUUUUCAAUUUUACUCGGAGGUAGAGGCAUAGCUAGGUUCGGACCAAAAUUUUCAUUAAGCAGAAAUUUGAAGGUCGGCGUGCUUGAAAGCAUGAGUAAUACUUUUCUGAAUUAUUUAUCUUCAACGGAUUAGAUACAAUAUUUUCAGUUCAUUAAAAAUACUUCUCUAAUUAACAGUCAUAAGAAUUAGUGACAUGUAAAAAUAAUUUUUAAAAUAAUUAUUAAGAUAUAUAUUUAUUUUAUAAAUAUUUAUAGCCACAUUCUCCUAUUAACUUUAUAUAGUUUUAACAUAAUGGCCACGCAAGUCAGCCCAUAUGAACGAACCGCCUGCUACUAUCCGUAACGGACGUAUAUAAAGAAUCGGAUAUAACCUCGUGCUAUCGUUCCAUCUUUGUUACCGUUGUGCUUUUGAUUCGAUAACAAAGGAAGGUCUUUAGUUUAGAUAUUAUUCAUGUCUCUCCGACUCUCCGUAUGCUCUCAUCUGAGAGGAUUUUCAAGUGCGAUUUGUUUUUCCUUUAGUUUUGGAUCUGAUUGAUAUUUUUGUUUUUAUGUUUAGGUUCGAAGUUAUGGAUCCCAUAAAUAAGAUUGAGAGGAGGAGGAAGGAGGCAGAAACGUUGGUGUUUUGGGACAUCAACAACUGUCCGGUUCCCAAAGACUGCGAUGCUGGUCUGGUAGGUUCGUGUAUAGAAUCGGCGUUGAAGAAGGCAGGCCACUGUAAAGGUGAUAUUACCAUCUAUGCCAUUAUCGACAUCUUUUACCCCUCAAAACCAAACCGUCAUUUGUUUCGAGGCCUCUUUUCUAUUGGAAUUACUGUUCGACGCGUCUCCCGCGGUUUCGUUAACGCUAUUGAUGAUUUAUUGACGCGUAACCCUAAAUAUCCUCUGACUACUGGUUAUAUCCGGUGCUAUGCACGUGGAGAGAGUAACUAUUCGUUUUCCCAAGCUACGGUCUAAGGGAUACACCCCUCUUCUGGCGUACCCGGUCAAUUCUAAAAAGCUCACUUCAGAAAAGAGCUUUUUCUGGGAAACCUUAGUGGAAGAUGGUUUAGAGGAGAGAAUAAGAUAAGGGCUUGAGGAGAAGUUGCGUACCCUCACCCUCGAAAGGAGGAGGACCAAGAUUGGGGAAACUGAAACGUUGGUGCUUUGGGACAUAGACACGUGUACGGUUCCCAAAGAUUAUGAUGCUCGUAUGGUGGCUUUGGGUAUAGAAUCGGCCUUGAAGAAGGCAGGCGUCUAUGGAGGUCCUCUCACCAUCACUGCCAUUGGCAACCUAAAAUACACCUCACAACUAAACCCUGAUGUUCUUUCGGCCAUCUUCUCCACUGGCAUUCUGUCUUUGUCACUCCCCAGCGGUUAAGACCAUGAUUAUCGCAGUAUACUAAUGGGUUUUAAAGGUGUGGGUCCCGCGUGUUUUUUAAAAAUCGGUUGCAGAAGUCACGAGAAAAUGGUCGACUUUGGGCAGUUUCUUGUACUGUUUGCAGGUUCCACUGACACGUGGCGGCCCGCAAUUGGUUUCCUUUUUAUAUUUUAUAUUUUUAUUUUUUUAAUCAGACAAAACAAAAAAAAAAAUUUAAGAAACCCAAAACAAGUUUCACCGUAAUCAUGCUCUAAUCUUUCUUAUCUUUUCUCAUACAAAUUAAUUAGGGUUUUAGAUUCAUAUAAUUAUUAAUGGUUUUUGAUUCAACCGGCUGUAUUUUCCUUUGCUGAAACAGGUUUCCGCGACUUUUUUGGUCAGCUGAGGGACUUCCUGUUGAAGAAAUCACUUCCGGUUACUUUAAUGAUCGUAUCCCGUAAUAAUAAUUACUCACUCAUGCUACGAGAUAAAAGAUUUAAACAACCUCGCUCCCUGAUCAAUUCUGAUGUGUUUCUCUGGGAAAGCUUAAUGAAAGAUGCAUUGGAUUCAGGUGAAACAAGAAGACAUGCACAUAAUGAGAAGUACUUUGAAUCUACCUGUUUUGCUCGUUAUGUGGAGUUAGUUUCCUACCCAGUGUGUUGUCAGGCGUAAUCUUUGGUCCCAUUAAGUUUUGUGGCGAAAGUUCUGAAGGCAAACGCUUUGAGGAUUUUACCAAGCAUAUCAAGUGUAGAGAGAACAUGCGAUAAAGGAGUUGUGCUUAGUUAAUUAUCCUGAAAGCAUAGAUACAAAGCUUUUUAGUGAAAUAAAAGCUAUAGAAGAAGCUAAAGCGAAAGAAGCUAAAGCUAAAGAAGGUAAAGAUGAAGAUGAAGAUGAAGAUGAAGAUAUAUAAUUAUCUGUCACUAUAGAUGAUAAUGAUGAUGAUGAUGAUGAUGAUGAGGAGUGGGACCGUCGCUCCGUCUAAGGGGGACGUGCUAGGCAUCAUUACUCGUUACUCACCUUAAACUCGUUACUUGACUCGUACCCGCUUUAAAAAUUCAAGUACUCGGUGUUGUCAAGGCAAGUACAAAUCGACAAUUUUCAUUACUUGCAAGAUCGAGUUAACUAUCAAGUAUCAUUAUUAUUUUUAGUACUUGACUUGUUACGCCCUGUUACUUGCUCAGUUACUUGCUAUUUGUUACGUGAUCUAUUAAAUACUUGUUCAUA